AUUUAAAUAGCUUAUGGGGUAAAGUUUUAUAUUGAAGAUAUAAGGAAAUUUUAAAAAUUUUAAAUA
rnacentral:tRNA from 1 species